AAUCGAACCCGGAGAUAGCUGGUUCUCCUCGAAAUAGCUUUAGGGCUAGCCUCAUGGAUCAUUGGUGGGGGUAGAGCACUGAAUGUGCGCGGGGGCCACAAAGCCUACCAAACGCUAUCAAACUUCGAAUACCAUACAAUGCAGACCAUGGGAGUCAGUCCGCGAGAGAUAAGUUCCGCGGGCAAAAGGGGAACACCCCAGAUCAACCGCUAAGGUCCCCAAGUUCACGUUAAGUGGAGAAGGAUGUGGAAUUGCACAGACAACCAGGAUGUUGGCUCAGAAGCAGCCACACAUUUAAAGAGUGCGUAAUAGCUCACUGGUCGAGUGAUUGUGCGCCGAAGAUGUCCGGGGCUAAACGUGACACCGAAGCGAUGGGUGCGUCUGAAGAAGAUGCGCGGUAGAGGAGCAAUGUGCAGAGGCAGAAGCCGUAUCGAGAGGCACGGUGGACACUGCACAAGAGAGAAUGCCGGUAUGAGUAGCGAGAGGCAUGCGAGAAACAUGCCCGUCGAAAGCCCAAGGUUUCCUGGGGAAGGUUCAUCCGCCCAGGGUAAGUCGGGGCCUAAGCCGAGGACGGAAGUCGUAGGCGAUGGACAGCAGGUGUAGAUUCCUGCACUACCGAUGGAAUGAAGCAGUGACACAGAAGGAUAACUCGAGCAGGGUGAUGGUCAACCCUGUGCAAGCAUCGAGGUUGGGUUGUAGUGAAGUACGCAACCCUAUAAGCUGAGGUGUGAUGCGGACCGAAAUUUCAGUAGGGAAGCGAGUGAGUUCACGCUGGCGAGAAAAGCUGCUAGUACAUCCAAAGGUACCCGUACCGGAAACCGACGCAGGUGGGCGAGGAGAGAAUCCUGAGACGAACGGGAGAACCCUUGUUAAGGAACUCGGCAAAAUGACCCCGUAACUUCGGGAUAAGGGGUGCCUGCGAGAGCAGGCCGCAGAGAAUAGUCACAAGCGACUGUUUAGCAAAAACACAGGUAUCUGCGAAAGCGAGAGCUGACGUAUAGGUGCUGACACCUGCCCGGUGCUGGAAGGUUAAGGGAACAUGUUAGAGCAAUCGAAGCAUCGAACCGAAGCCCCAGUAAACGGCGGCCGUAACUAUAACGGUCCUAAGGUAGCGAAAUUCCUUGUCGGGUAAGUUCCGACCCGCACGAAUGGUGUAACGACUUGUGAGCUGUCUCAACAGGGGGCCCGGUGAAAUUGAAGUAUGGGUGAAGAUGCCCAUUACCCGCGACUGGACGGAAAGACCCCGUAGAGCUUUACUGCAGCCUGAUAUUGAGUUUCGGUAAUUGAUGCACAGGAUAGGUGGGAGUCUGAGAGACAUGGGUUUCGGCUCAUGUGGAGACGGUGUUGGGAUACCACUCUUCGGUUACUGAAAUUCUAACAUAGCUCUGUGAAACCAGAGGAUGGACAGUGUCAGGUGGACAGUUUGACUGGGGCGGUCGCCUCCGAAAGAGUAACGGAGGCGCCCAAAGGUACCCUCAGAAUGGAUGGAAACCAUUCGAAGAGCGCAAAGGCAGAAGGGUGCCUGACUGCGAGAUUGACAAAUCGAGCAGAGACGAAAGUCGGGCUUAGUGAUCCGGCGGUAUUGAGUGGAAAAGCCGUCGCUUAACGGAUAAAAGCUACCUCGGGGAUAACAGGCUGAUCUCCCCCAAGAGUCCACAUCGACGGGGAGGUUUGGCACCUCGAUGUCGGCUCGUCGCAUCCUGGGGCUGAAGCAGGUCCCAAGGGUUUGGCUGUUCGCCAAUUAAAGCGGCACGCGAGCUGGGUUCAGAACGUCGUGAGACAGUUCGGUCCCUAUCCAUCGUGGGCGUAGGAGUCAUGAGAGGAGCUGUUCCUAGUACGAGAGGACCGGAAUGGACGCACCACUGGUGCAACUGUUGUCGUGCCAACGGCAUAGCAGGGAAGCGAAGUGCGGAUGGGAUAAACGCUGAAGGCAUCUAAGCGUGAAGCCCACCUCAAGAAUAAGACUCCACAAUAGACCCCUGGAGGACUACCAGGUAGAUAGGUCAUCGGUGGAAGCGCUGUAAGGCGUGU
rnacentral:rRNA from 1 species